CAGGGAGACAACAAAAUGUUUAAUAUUAUUAUUUUGUCACCUUAGGUCGAUCGGUAUCUCACGUUUUUAAUUUAUUAAGAAUUUCAUUUCCUAAGUUUUUCUAGGUCACACCCAUUAUUUUUCCUGGGCCAUUAGCUCAGGUGGUUAGAGCGCACCCCUGAUAAGGGUGAGGUCCCUGGUUCAAGUCCAGGAUGGCCCAUAUCUCUAUGUUGGGGGUAUAGCUCAGUUGGUAGAGCGCCUGCUUUGCAAGCAGGAUGUCAGCGGUUCGAGUCCGCUUACCUCCACUGAUUACCACCUCUUCCAUAUCCGGUAGAAAGGAAAUGUUCUGAGUUGUGAUCAAAUUCUGAAAGAAUCUAGCUUCCUAAUGAAAUCAUUAAGAUGCUGGACUCAUUGAAUUAAUUUCAUUGUUUUCAGAGAACCUUGACAACUGCAUAGAUUAUUUUUAAAGACAAUAAGCAUCUUUAAUGAUGCAGAUUUAUUAUUUGUGCGAAUGCAUUAAUAACAAUUCUAUUAAGCUGAUGCUUCAAUUUUUGAAGUUAUU
rnacentral:tRNA from 1 species